AACGAACGCUGGCGGCAUGCCUAACACAUGCAAGUCGAACGAGACCUUCGGGUCUAGUGGCGCACGGGUGCGUAACGCGUGGGAACCUGCCCUUAGGCUCGGAAUAACUCCCCGAAAGGGGUGCUAAUACCGGAUAAUGUCUUCGGACCAAAGAUUUAUCGCCUUUGGAUGGGCCCGCGUUGGAUUAGCUAGUUGGUAGGGUAAAAGCCUACCAAGGCGACGAUCCAUAGCUGGUCUGAGAGGAUGAUCAGCCACACUGGGACUGAGACACGGCCCAGACUCCUACGGGAGGCAGCAGUGGGGAAUAUUGGACAAUGGGCGAAAGCCUGAUCCAGCAAUGCCGCGUGAGUGAUGAAGGCCUUAGGGUUAUAAAGCUCUUUUACCCGGGAUGAUAAUGACAGUACCGGGAGAAUAAGCUCCGGCUAACUCCGUG
rnacentral:rRNA from 1 species